rnacentral:tRNA from 1 species
UGCCGAGACGAGGAACAAGAAAAACCUCCACAGACA